CCCAAGUUUGUUGGGAUUACAGGAAUCAA
rnacentral:piRNA from 1 species